AGAAAUUACUGAUUUGUCCGAGAUUAGCCAUGCAUGUCUAAGUCAUACCUCAAAACGGUGAAACCGCGAAUGGCUCAUUAAAUCAGCUAUGGUUCCUUAGAUCGUACAUACUACAUGGAUAACUGUAGUAAUUCUAGAGCUAAUACAUGCCACUAUGCCCUGACCCGCGAGGGAACGGGUGGAUUUAUUAGAACAGAACCAACCGGUUGUGGUUUCGGCUGCUUCCGUUGUACUCUGUGAUGACUCUGGAUAACUUCACUGAUCGCGUCGGCCUUGUGUCGGCGACGGAUCUUUCAAAUGUCUGCCCUAUCAAUUUACGAUGGUAGGUGACCUGCCUACCAUGGUGAUAACGGGUAACGGGGAAUCAGGGUUCGAUUCCGGAGAGGGAGCCUGAGAAACGGCUACCACUUCCAAGGAAGGCAGCAGGCACGCAAAUUACCCAAUCCCGGCACGGGGAGGUAGUGACGAAAAAUACGAAUACGGGACUCAACAGAGGCUCCGUAAUUCGAAUGAGUACAAUUUAAAUCCUUUAACGAGGAUCAACUGGAGGGCAAGUCUGGUGCCAGCAGCCGCGGUAACUCCAGCUCCAGAAGCGUAUAUUAAAGUUGUUGCAGUUAAAAAGCUCGUAGUUGGAUCUGGGUCGCAUGGCUACGUGCCGUCGCUCACUUUCUCGGUUGGCUGUUAAGGCCCUGGGUUUGGUGGGUCGGUGUCGUGGUUGUGUGGUCUUUCUGCCGUGUCUGUUUUGCAGGUGCUGACUAGGCCUUCGGGUUUGUCGGCAUGCUUCCGGAUGCCUUUAAACGGGUGUCGGGGGCGGACGGCACGUUUACUUUGAACAAAUUUGAGUGCUCAAAGCAGGCCCUUGUGCCUGAAAAUUCUUGCAUGGAAUAAUGGAAUAGGACUUCGGUUCUAUUUUGUUGGUUUUCGGAUCCGAAGUAAUGGUUAAGAGGGACAGACGGGGGCAUUUGUAUGGCGGUGUUAGAGGUGAAAUUCUUGGAUCGCCGCCAGACAAACUACAGCGAAAGCAUUUGCCAAGGAUGUUUUCAUUGAUCUGGAGCGAAAGUCAGAGGUUCGAAGACGAUCAGAUACCGUCCUAGUUCUGACCAUAAACGAUGCCAAUUGACGAUCCGCGGGGGGUUCUUUAAUUGGCCCCGCCGGGCAGCCCCCGGGAAACCUUUAAGUCUUUGGGUUCCGGGGGAAGUAUGGGUGCAAAGCUGAAACUUAAAGGAAUUGACGGAAGGGCUC
rnacentral:rRNA from 1 species